rnacentral:snRNA from 1 species
CUGCUUUGGUAACACAUGUACUAAAACUGGAACAAUAUUGAAAAUUCACAUGGCUCCUCAACAAGGAUGACACUCAAAUUGGUGAAGCAUUCUGUACUUUU